rnacentral:lncRNA from 1 species
AGAGUUUCCCACGUUUUAUUAGUUUACUAACAGUACUUGUUAUCAGUAUUCAAGGCAACAUACGAGCUAGUACGCGAGCGUGACAUGAAUACAGGUUUAAUAUUUAUCUGCGUAGAUGACGUAAUCGGCCAUGCAAAUGCAAUGCCUAAAACGCAGCGUUGUCACAGACUAACUACCUAGGUAACUGUUACCUAAUUAAGGCAGUGUGUUCAAUAUACGAAUGUGCUCUGCUAAGUAUGUAUUAAAUAUUUUCAAAAAAAUAACUAAAAUCUGCAGGACGUUCCUCCAUAAUAUUGCUAUUACGUCAUUAAAGCUAGUGUAUUACUCCGUAGGUAGAUUCAAUUCGACCAAUUCAUAACAGUCGCGUUGUGAUUGUGACAUCAAUUUUGUUAGGUCAGUAGCUACACGAGCGGCGUGCCCCUGAGAGACUAUCAACAAUGAAGCCAGUCGCGGACUGAACAGCACAAUCGCAGUUGUCUCACAGACUCACGGACGUACAAGUUGCCAGUGAUUGUGACACGAAUAAAAAUACGAACAAUCUGCUUAGCCUAAGUCUAUUUACUGAAAAGUUUUUUUUUUUUUUGUUUUUUUGUGUGUUAAUUUCUCAUUGCAUAGAACUAGAACAGAACGUAGGAUGACGUCACCUGCAAUUACAAAAUCUCCAGAAAACCAAAAAGCCGAAAAAAAGUCUCCAUCGCAUUCGGCGCGCACUCCCGAGAGAGUGCCCUCUAGCACCGACAAUACCGCAUCUUCUGCCGCUGGGGCCACGGCCCUUCAAGGCCCAUCAGAAACAUUUAGCUGGCUACGAAUCUUUAAACUUGCAGAUCUUAUGAUGAAACAGGGUUGUUAAGCCCUAGAAAGUUGACAAUUCAGUUUAUCAUUGUUAUUCAACAAAGAUGUGAAGCUAGCAAUAAUUAGACAUUGUAGAAAUAGGCAAAAAUAGAUCUUUAUUAGGUACUUGUUAUCAGUGGUUAUAUCUGCAGUAACACUAAUGUGAUUAGUUGUUAAAUGUUUCGUUAAAUCAAAUAAAGGCCAACUUGUCUCACGUCACACGCUUCGGCAGUUGGAGCAAGUCCCAAAA